CUUGUCUUUCUUUUUCCAAUAAAAUUUCUUUCUUUUUCCAAUAAAAUUGUCAAACUCAAUUAUUAUAUCUCUAUGCUUAAAAAGAUGUGCAAGUGGGCUAAGUCAUGUUGAUAAGAAAAAUAGGCUUUCCUUAACGACCUUAACGAAUAAGACCAAGGAGAAAGCAGAUGAGCAAGACGAAGAAAUUGCAGGGCCAAGUCAAGCACAAGAAGAAUUGAAAUUACCAGACAUGGCAGAACCCAGCAAAGGAAGAAAGAAAUUUCUUCGUAAAAAGGAACUGAAGAAAUCGGCUAAGGGAGCCAAAACAGUUACAACCCUGGACGAAGAAAUAAAUGGGAAACAAACCCGAAAACUCGGAAUGUGCUGUUUGUGAUCCAAUCACUCUUCUUAUGGAGGACAAUUUGACGCACCCAGAAAGUCCAGACUAUGACAAGAUCAUUAAUGACUAUCUAGCGGAUGGUGAGGAUGGGUCAAGUGAGGAUGAUGAAGUUGGAGCAAAAAAGGAUGAGCCAAAAAUAGAGAACACAACAGCGGCAAAAGAAAAACCAGACCAACAAAAUGACAAGACCAGUGUUGCAGGCCCAAGCAAUUAGAAAGGAAGUAAAAAGGAACUGAAGAAAUCGGCUAAGGGAGCCAAAACAGCUACAACCCUGGACGAAGAAAUAAAUGGGAAACAAACCCGAAAACUCGGAAUGUGUUUGUGAUCCAA